UGGGGAAUCUUGGACAAUGGGCGCAAGCCUGAUCCAGCCAUGCCGCGUGAGUGAAGAAGGCCUUAGGGUUGUAAAGCUCUUUUGGCAGGGACGAUAAUGACGGUACCUGCAGAAUAAGCCCCGGCAAACUUCGUGCCAGCAGCCGCGGUAAUACGAAGGGGGCUAGCGUUGUUCGGAUUUACUGGGCGUAAAGCGCACGUAGGCGGAUUGUUAAGUCAGGGGUGAAAUCCCGGAGCUCAACUCCGGAACUGCCUUUGAUACUGACAAUCUUGAGGCUGGAAGAGGUUGGUAGAAUUCCCAGUGUAGAGGUGAAAUUCGUAGAUAUUGGGAAGAAUACCAGUGGCGAAGGCGGCCAACUGGUCCAGAUCUGACGCUGAGGUGCGAAAGCGUGGGGAGCAAACA
rnacentral:rRNA from 1 species